UAGUCAUAUGCUUGUUUCAACGACUAAGCCAUGCAUGUCUAAGUAUAAGCACUUGUACUGUGAAACUGCGAAUGGCUCAUUAAAUCAGUGAUCGUUUAUUUGAUAGUACCUUACUACAUGGAUAACCGUGGUAAUUCUAGAGCUAAUACAUGCAGCAAACCGGUUCCGGUUGUAUUUAUUAGAUACAAAACCAAUGCCGCAAGGCCGUGGUGAUUCAUAAUAACUGUUCGGAUCGUAUGGCCGUGUGCCGACGACGUGUCAUUCAAAUUUCUGCCCUAUCAAGUUUCGAUGGUAGGAUAGAGGCCUACCAUGCUUGUCACGGGUAACGGGGAAUUAGGGUUCGAUUCCGGAGAGCGAGCCUGAGAAACGGCUAGCACAUCCAAGGAAGGCAGCAGGCGCGCAAAUUACCCAAUCCCAACACGGGGAGGUAGGAACAAAAAAUAGCAAUGCAGGGCUCUACGAGUCUUUGCAAUUGGAAUGAGUACAAUCUAAACCACUUAACGAGUAACGAUU
rnacentral:rRNA from 1 species